AAAAUCUUGAAUCUUGAUUGGAUGCAAAAAAUCUACUUUUUUAUAUACAUCAAGAUGCUCCAGCAGCUUCUGUCACUACAAGAUCUCCUUCAACUGAGUAUGAAACAUCAGCUCCUCCAACUCCUGCAACUACAAAAUCUCAUUUAACUGAGUCUGAAACAUCAGGUCCUACAAGACUAAAAGUGAUUGAGAAUCUCACAGUAACUGAAAUCUCCACAUCAUUUGUGCUUCUGAAAUGGGAUGAACCACUUGAAAUUGUGGCGUUGUCCUUUAAAGUUCAAUGGACUGCUGAUGAAACAUCUGGAAAUGCAACAGUCACAGAAACAUCAGCGAUGUCACACCAGUAUAACAUUACUGGCCUGACUGCUGGAGUCAAUUACACAUUUUGCAUCACUGCCACUGUAGCAGAUACAUCAACAGAAAGUGAAUCUGUCUGUAUCUCAGCAUGGACCAAGCCAGAUGUGAUCAGUAAUCUCAAAGUGACUGAAAUCACAACAUCUUCUGUGUUUCUGAUAUGGGAUGAACCAGUUGGAAAAAGAUCUUUCUUUAAAAUUCAAUGGACUGGUGAUAAAACAAGUGGAAAUUCAACAACUACUAACACUUCCUAUCACAUCACUAGUCUGACUGCUGGAGUCAAUUACACAUUUUUCAUCACAGCUGUUGCGGCAGAUAAAUCAACAGAAGGAGAAUCAGUGGUUACCUCAAAUUAUACUAGUAUGUUUUCCUGUUACUUUUAAGUGUCCUCUUUAUGGAGCCCCGCACAUGACAUGCAAGAAAAAUAUAAAUAAAUUGUGGACAUGAUUUAUUUAUUUGUUCCUUCGAUUUACUAGAUAGUGCACCUGAUUUGAUAAUUUGUUCCCUUGUUUUAAGUAAAUUGUGCACACGAUUUAUUAAA